rnacentral:lncRNA from 1 species
CCCUCCCCCAGCCUCGCUGCAGCCUUGCAGUUUGAUCACAGACUGCUGUGCUAGCAAUUAGUGAGACUCCGUGGGCGUAGGACCCUCUGAGCCAGAGACAACACCAACAUUUUUGUAAUGGCCUGCAAGGCCUUCCGAGAUCUACCUCCUGCAACUCAGCUUCUCCUGUGCUCUCCUUCUGGACUCACUCUGCCUCAGCAACACUGGUCCCUGUUGCCCCACCAAUAUGCCAGCUGCACUGAUGAGGAAACUGAAACAGAAAAUCCAGAGUAAAUUCCACCAGGCCACACAGCAAGGUCUGAUAGAGCCAGGAGAGACUUUAUGAAAUCCAGACUCUCACACUAAUGCUCUAUCAGCUAGACCUCCAUGUGAGUCUCCCCAAUGUAGGUAGGAAGUGCUUUCCCUAAAAUGCUCAUAAAGCAAAUCAGAGCAAUGCUGCAUUCCAUGUGAUUUCUAAUUUGAAAUGCAAACAAUUGCCAAUUUGUUUGACUUGUAUUUAUAAUUAUUUCCUUGUGAAUUACUCAUCACUAAAUGCUUUAUAAAUAUUUUCUCUUUUUUUCCUCAAUGUCUAUGGAAUGAUCACAGCAUAGAAAAUGUUGGCUUUCAAGGAUUUAUUAAUAUCUCCUUUUGAAAUAACAUGUAUUUGUAAGACAGAAUAAAAUCACUUUAAAGAAACAAA